rnacentral:rRNA from 1 species
AACGUAGGACACAAGCGUUAUCCGGAUUUACUGGGCGUAAAGCGCACGUAGGCGGAUAUUUAAGUCAGGGGUGAAAUCCCGGGGCUCAACCCCGGAACUGCCUUUGAUACUGGGUAUCUCGAGUCCGAGAGAGGUGAGUGGAAUUCCGAGUGUAGAGGUGAAAUUCGUAGAUAUUCGGAGGAACACCAGUGGCGAAGGCGGCUCACUGGCUCGGUACUGACGCUGAGGUGCGAAAGCGUGGGGAGCAAACAGG